AUUGAACGCUGGCGGCAUGCCUUACACAUGCAAGUCGAACGGUAACGGGCCUUCGGGUGCCGACGAGUGGCGAACGGGUGAGUAAUGCAUCGGAACGUACCUCUCCGUGGGGGAUAACGUAGCGAAAGUUACGCUAAUACCGCAUAUUCUGUGAGCAGGAAAGCAGGGGAUCGCAAGACCUCGCGCUGAUUGAGCGGCCGAUGGCAGAUUAGCUAGGUGGUGAGGUAAAGGCUCACCAAGGCGACGAUCUGUAGCGGGUCUGAGAGGAUGAUCCGCCACACUGGGACUGAGACACGGCCCAGACUCCUACGGGAGGCAGCAGUGGGGAAUUUUGGACAAUGGGGGCAACCCUGAUCCAGCCAUGCCGCGUGAGUGAAGAAGGCCUUCGGGUUGUAAAGCUCUUUCGGCCGGGAAGAAAUCGCACAGGCUAAUACCUUGUGUGGAUGACGGUACCGGAAUAAGAAGCACCGGCUAACUACGUGCCAGCAGCCGCGGUAACAC
rnacentral:rRNA from 1 species